rnacentral:rRNA from 1 species
AUUGAACGCUGGCGGCAGGCCUAACACAUGCAAGUCGAGCGAGCGGCGGACGGGUGAGUAAUGUAUGGGGACUGCCCGAUAGAGGGGGAUAACUACUGGAAACGGUAGCUAAUACCGCAUACUAUCGGAUAACCCAUAUGGGAUUAGCUAGUAGGUGAGGUAAUGGCUCACCUAGGCGACGCUCCCUAGCUGGUCUGAGAGGAUGAUAAGGAACACUGGGAAGUAGAAAAGGUCCAGGCUCCUACGGAGGCAGGAGUGGGGAAUAUUGCACAAAGGGGGCAAGCCUGAUACCGCCAUGCCGGGUGUAAGAAGAAGGCCCUAGGGUUGUAAAGUACUUUCAGUCGGGAGGCGUUACCGACAGAAGAAGCACCGGCUAACUCCGUGCCAGCAGCCGCGGUAAUUC